AACGAACGCUGGCGGCGUGCCUAACACAUGCAAGUCGAGCGAGAAAGGGAGCAAUCCCUGAGUAAAGCGGCAGACGGGUGAGUAACACGUGGGUAAUCUGCCCUCGAGCGGGGAAUAACAUCUCGAAAGAGGUGCUAAUACCGCAUAACAUCCAGGGGCCUGAGGGCUUUUGGAUCAAAGGUGGGGAUCUUCGGACCUACCACUCGAGGAGGAGCCCGCGCCUGAUUAGCUAGUUGGUGGGGUAAUGGCCUACCAA
rnacentral:rRNA from 1 species